AGGUGAGGUAGAGGUCGCGGUUUUGAAGAGUACUUUGUAUGAGAUGGAGAGUUUCGACAUACUUACGUCGUAGUAAACAUCAAGGACUACUUAGGAAAGGCACAACCGCCGAAGCAAUCUACAUACUCUCAUGUAGUGUUGCUGGGACUGUUAUCGAAUAGGGACAGGACUGUCACAAACCAUGUCGCAUAUGGUUUGUGUUGAGCUAUCUUCGCG
rnacentral:ncRNA from 2 species